rnacentral:rRNA from 1 species
AACACAUGCAAGUCGAGCGGCAGCACAGAGAAACUUGUUUCUCGGGUGGCGAGCGGCGGACGGGUGAGUAAUGCCUGGGAAAUUGCCCUGAUGUGGGGGAUAACCAUUGGAAACGAUGGCUAAUACCGCAUGAUAGCUUCGGCUCAAAGAGGGGGACCUUCGGGCCUCUCGCGUCAGGAUAUGCCCAGGUGGGAUUAGCUAGUUGGUGAGGUAAGGGCUCACCAAGGCGACGAUCCCUAGCUGGUCUGAGAGGAUGAUCAGCCACACUGGAACUGAGACACGGUCCAGACUCCUACGGGAGGCAGCAGUGGGGAAUAUUGCACAAUGGGCGCAAGCCUGAUGCAGCCAUGCCGCGUGUGUGAAGAAGGCCUUCGGGUUGUAAAGCACUUUCAGUCGUGAGGAAGGUG